CAGACGACCACCGGCCUCCGUCAGGAGAGAUGACGAGAGGAUCACUGCAGCAAGUAGUGCUGGUUCUGCACCCAAUUCAGUAUGUAACAUUUAUUAAUAACAGCUACAAUAAUGCAAAUGCUUAUAAUGAUUUAAUCAUGAGUCAGUUUUAAUCGUUUCUAGAGUGAGUGUGGUCAGCCCCAAUCCACAAAGGCAACACCUAAAGAAGUGGAACCGAAGCAGACAGGAGCAUUAAGAAAUGAAACUCUUAUGAGCAUCACUUCCAUCCGACUGAUUAGUAAUGAAGAGUUCCUGCCAUCCUACAUGAUGGACAGAUACUGGGAUUCAUUCCUGAACAACGACUGGGACUGGGA
ensembl:lncRNA